rnacentral:lncRNA from 1 species
CCUGGCUUUUAUUGAAGAAAGCACAUUUAGUGCUUUUGAGGACAACAGGAGGAGAGGGAAAGACUUAAAGAUAAAAGAAGUGGAAUACUACUCAGCAACAGAAAAUUUACCUACUUGGCAGCUUUGUUUUCCGGAUGUACUCCUUUAAGUACUUUCUCUCAUUAAUCAUUUCUAAACCCGAUUUAUCUUAAAGAAUUUAACUUAAUUAAAUAAUCUUUCAUGGAAAAAUGAUCAAAACCAGACUUAAGAUCAUGACUGGGAAGCUUAGUUAUUUUUAAUUUAACACAGUGCAUUCAGGGCUUGCUGAUGCGUGUAGACUGUUUCCAUCAAAUGUGAGAAAAGGAGCUCGACACAGUCUGACAAUCUCUGGCAAUGCAUCUGGUCCUGAAAACUAGACCCAUUCCCCAGAGGACUGGGGCAGGCAGGACUUGGCAGAAGGUGUAGAAAGAGACCCAGACAGGAAGAGAACCAUCCUGGAGACCUGGAGACAUUCUGUUUAGCAUCAGCAAACUCCAUCAGCAGACACAUAAGAUAGUGAUGUAUAAAACAGUGGUUCCCAACUGGAGCAAUAAAGACAGCCGCAGAGGGAGAGAGCGUUACCACCUCACAAUAAUUUUCUUCUCAAGAAUGGUUCUCUCUCCUUCUCAUGGUCCAAGGCAGAAAUUCAGUUUGUCCCCCAACUCCCACCCACCCAAGAAAAUAUUUCCUGGUGUUUGGAAAUGUCUGCGUUUUACCCACCAGUUGGAGGUCUGGCCAGCCUCAGAGCUGAGAACCGAGGCUGUGAUGAGAUGGGGGUUUGCAGGCUUGUGGGGCUGCCACAGCAGAAGGGAGCUGUGUGUGCUUCAGCUGUGGCUGCCUCUCCC